AUGGCCUCGGAAGUGGUGUGCGGGCUCAUCUUCAGGCUGCUGCUGCCCAUCUGCCUGGCAGUAGCAUGUGCGUUCCGAUACAAUGGGCUCUCCUUUGUCUACCUUAUCUACCUCUUGCUCAUUCCUCUGUUCUCAGAACCAACAAAAACGACAAUGCAAGGACAUACGGGACGGUUAUUAAAGUCUCUGUGCUUCCUCAGUCUUUCCUUCCUGUUGCUGCACGUUAUCUUCCACAUCACAUUGGCGAGCCUUGAAGCUCAACAUCGUAUUGCACCUGGCUACAACUGCUCAACAUGGGAAAAGACAUUUCGGCAGAUCGGCUUUGAAAGCUUAAAGGGAGCUGAUGCUGGCAAUGGGAUCAGAGUGUUUGUACCUGACAUCGGGAUGUUCAUUGCUAGUCUGACCAUCUGGCUUCUCUGUAGAAACAUUGUUCAGAAACCUGUGACAGACGAAGCAGCACAGAGUAACCUGGAGUUUGAAAAUGAAGAAUUGGCUUUCAACAUCUGCUCAGUUCUAGCCUGAGAUUUAGUGCAAAGUCUCCAGCUUUAAAUUUUCUGGAUCCUGUUUCUUCAAGCACACAGACAUGAUCACUUGAAACCUGGAACCAUUCAGAAUGGUAAGAAGCUGAAC
rnacentral:lncRNA from 1 species